GGGUCCGGACACACUGAGGAUUGACAGGCAAUAUUAAUACGUUUUGCUUCGGUAAACGCGUAUUAUGUUAAAUAUGCUAGUCCUUUCAUGAUUAUGUGAUAGGUGGUGCAUGGCCGUUCUUAGUUCGUGGAGUGAUCUGUCUGCUUAAUUGCGUUUCACUAAGGGCCUAUAAAUUUACGUAUGUUGCAUCGCACUUUGACCCCUUUCUUUAAUUAGAGAGCGCGUGUCUUAGUUUUCGCUUUGCUCAUACAAUUAGGUCCUGAAAGCAACGAACGUGACCGCAACCUCUUGUUGCCUUUAUACCAAACAUGUUUUGCGUCAAUUUUUACGAAUUGCGCGCAUUUCAUGAAAAAAGGCUUUUUAAACUAGAGGGACCGCUGUUACUUUCUUAAACCAGAGGAAGGUUGCGGCAAUAACAGGUCUGUGAUGCCCUUAGAUGUUCCGGGCUGCACACGUGCUACAAUGAUUAUUGCAGUGAGCAUCUCAUUUUUACACACCGCAUGCGCGAGUCCAUUUAUUCACCUUCGGGUGUUUUAAAUGUGUAUCUCUGCGCGCGGUAAAGCCUGCUUCGACAGUAAGUGGGU
rnacentral:rRNA from 1 species